AUUGAACGCUGGCGGCAUGAUUUACACAUGCAAGUCGAACGGUAACAGGCCGCAAGGUGCUGACGAGUGGCGAACGGGUGAGUAAUGCAUCGGAACGUGCCCAGUCGUGGGGGAUGACUACUCGAAAGAGUAGCUAAUACCGCAUACGAUCUAUGGAUGAAAGCGGGGGACCGUAAGGCCUCGCGCGAUUGGAGCGGCCGAUGUCAGAUUAGGUAGUUGGUGGGGUAAAGGCUCACCAAGCCAACGAUCUGUAGCUGGUCUGAGAGGACGACCAGCCACACUGGGACUGAGACACGGCCCAGACUCCUACGGGAGGCAGCAGUGGGGAAUUUUGGACAAUGGGCGCAAGCCUGAUCCAGCAAUGCCGCGUGCAGGAAGAAGGCCUUCGGGUUGUAAACUGCUUUUGUACGGAACGAAACGGCUCUGGUUAAUACCCGGGGCUAAUGACGGUACCGUAAGAAUAAGCACCGGCUAACUACGUG
rnacentral:rRNA from 1 species